rnacentral:rRNA from 2 species
UACGGGGGGAGCAAGCGUUGUUCGGAAUUACUGGGCGUAAAGGGCGUGUAGGCGGCCUUGUAAGUCGGGGGUGAAAUCCACUGGCUCAACCAGUGACGUGCCUUCGAAACUGCUUGGCUUGAGUAUGGCAGAGGAGAGCGGAAUUCCAGGUGUAGCGGUGAAAUGCGUAGAUAUCUGGAAGAACACCGGUGGCGUAGGCGGCUCUCUGGGCCAAUACUGACGCUGAGGCGCGAAAGCCAGGGGAGCAAACGGG